rnacentral:rRNA from 1 species
UACGAAGGGGGCUAGCGUUGUUCGGAUUUACUGGGCGUAAAGCGUGUGUAGGCGGCUUGGCAAGUUGGAUGUGAAAGCCCACGGCUCAACCGUGGAAGCGCACCCAAAACUGCUUCGCUCGAGUCUCGGAGAGGAAGGUGGAAUGCUUGGUGUAGAGGUGAAAUUCGUAGAUAUCAAGCAGAACACCUGCGGCGAAGGCGGCCUUCUGGACGAUGACUGACGCUGAGACACGAAAGCGUGGGGAGCAAACAGG